UACGUAGGGUGCGAGCGUUGUCCGGAAUUAUUGGGCGUAAAGAGCUCGUAGGCGGUCUGUUGCGUCCGCUGUGAAAACCCAGGGCUUAACCCUGGGCUGGCAGUGGAUACGGACAGACUAGAGGUAGGUAGGGGAGAAUGGAAUUCCCGGUGUAGCGGUGAAAUGCGCAGAUAUCGGGAGGAACACCGGUGGCGAAGGCGGUUCUCUGGGCCUUACCUGACGCUGAGGAGCGAAAGCGUGGGGAGCGAACAGG
rnacentral:rRNA from 1 species